GAAUCUUGCGCAAUGGGCGAAAGCCUGACGCAGCGACACCGCGUGGGGGACGAAGGCCCUCGGGUUGUAAACCCCUUUCGACAGGGAAGAAGCGAUAUCGUGACGGUACCUGUAGAAGAAGCCCCGGCUAACUACGUGCCAGCAGCCGCGGUGAGACGUAGGGGGCGAGCGUUGUCCGGAUUCAUUGGGCGUAAAGCGCGCGUAGGCGGCCCGGUAAGUCGGUUGUGAAAUCCUGGGGCUCAACCCCAGGACUGCGUCCGAUACUGCCGGGCUAGAGGUAGGUAGGGGAGAUCGGAAUUCCUGGUGUAGCGGUGAAAUGCGCAGAUAUCAGGAGGAACACCGGUGGCGAAGGCGGAUCUCUGGGCCUUACCUGACGCUCAGGCGCGAAAGCUAGGGGAGCAAACAGG
rnacentral:rRNA from 1 species